UUGCAGCUGUGCAAGAAUAUGAUCCAAACCCUAAAUCCUUUUGACAAGCUUAAGAAAGAAAAUGACAAAUUCCGGAAUGAACUUGAUAAUCUCCAGGAGAAAAUGAAAGAGCUUCAGAAAGAGAAUG